rnacentral:rRNA from 1 species
GACGAACGCUGGCGGCGUGCCUAACACAUGCAAGUCGAACGGAGAUGUUUAUUUCGGUAGAUAUCUUAGUGGCGCACGGGUGAGUAACGCGUGAAUAACCUGACCCGAAGAGGGGGAUAACACCUGGAAACAAGUGCUAAUACCGCAUAAGACCACAGACCGGCAUCGGUCAGAGGUCAAAGGAGAAAUCCGCUUUGGGAGGGUUCGCGUCCCAUUAGGUAGUUGGUGAGGUAACGGCCCACCAAGCCGACGAUGGGUAGCCGAGCUGAGAGGCUGAUCGGCCACACUGGAACUGAGACACGGUCCAGACUCCUACGGGAGGCAGCAGUGGGGAAUAUUGGGCAAUGGGCGCAAGCCUGACCCAGCAACGCCGCGUGAGGGAAGAAGGUUUUCGGAUUGUAAACCUCUGUCGCAGGGGACGAAGGAAGUGACGGUACCCUGUAAGAAAGCCCCGGCUAACUACGUGCCAGCAGCCGCGGUAAU